rnacentral:rRNA from 1 species
CAGGCCUAACACAUGCAAGUCGAGCGGUAAGGCCUUUCGGGGUACACGAGCGGCGAACGGGUGAGUAACACGUGGGUGAUCUGCCCUGCACUUCGGGAUAAGCCUGGGAAACUGGGUCUAAUACCGGAUAUGACCUCCUAUCGCAUGGUGGGUGGUGGAAAGAUUUAUCGGUGCAGGAUGGGCCCGCGGCCUAUCAGCUUGUUGGUGGGGUAAUGGCCUACCAAGGCGACGACGGGUAGCCGACCUGAGAGGGUGACCGGCCACACUGGGACUGAGACACGGCCCAGACUCCUACGGGAGGCAGCAGUGGGGAAUAUUGCACAAUGGGCGAAAGCCUGAUGCAGCGACGCCGCGUGAGGGAUGACGGCCUUCGGGUUGUAAACCUCUUUCAGCAGGGACGAAGCGCAAGUGACGGUACCCGCAGAAGAAGCACCGGCUAACUACGUGCCAGCAGCCGCGGUAAUACGUAGGGUGCAAGCGUUGUCCGGAGUUACUGGGCGUAAAGAGUUCGUAGGCGGUUUGUCGCGUCGUUUGUGAAAACCAGCAGCUCAACUGCUGGCUUGCAGGCGAUACGGGCAGACUUGAGUACUGCAGGGGAGACUGGAAUUCCUGGUGUAGCGGUGAAAUGCGCAGAUAUCAGGAGGAACACCGGUGGCGAAGGCGGGUCUCUGGGCAGUAACUGACGCUGAGGAACGAAAGCGUGGGUAGCGAACAGGAUUAGAUACCCUGGUAGUCCACGCCGUAAACGGU